AUUGAACGCUGGCGGCAGGCCUAACACAUGCAAGUCGAGCGGAUGAUGGGAGCUUGCUCCUGGAUUCAGCGGCGGACGGGUGAGUAAUGCCUAGGAAUCUGCCUGGUAGUGGGGGACAACGUUUCGAAAGGAACGCUAAUACCGCACACGUCCUACGGGAGAAAGCAGGGGACCUUCGGGCCUUGCGCUAUCAGAUGAGCCCAGGUCGGAUUAGCUAGUAGGUGAGGUAAAGACUCACCUAGGCGACGAUCCGUAACUGGUCUGAGAGGAUGAUCAGUCACACUGGAACUGAGACACGGGCCAGACUCCUACGGGAGGCAGCAGUGGGGAAUAUUGGACAAUGGGCGAAAGCCUGAUCCAGCCAUGCCGCGUGUGUGAAGAAGGUCUUCGGAUUGUAAAGCACUUUAAGUUGGGAGGAAGGGCAGUAAGUUAAUACCUUGCUGUUUUGACGUUACCGACAGAAUAAGCACCGGCUAACUUCGUGCCAGCCGCCGCCGUAAAAC
rnacentral:rRNA from 1 species